CCUACGGGCGGCUGCAGUGAGGAAUAUUGGUCAAUGGACGAGAGUCUGAACCAGCCAAGUAGCGUGAAGGAUGACUGCCCUAUGGAUUGUAAACUUCUUUUAUAUGGGAAUAAAACGUUCCACGUGUGGGAUUUUGUAUGUACCAUAUGAAUAAGGAUCGGCUAACUCCGUGCCAGCAGCCGCGGUAAUACGGAGGAUCCGAGCGUUAUCCGGAUUUAUUGGGUUUAAGGGGAGCGUAGGUGGAUUGUUAAGUCAGUUGUGAAAGUUUGCGGCUCAACCGUAAAAUUGCAUGUGAAACUGGCAGUCUGGAGUACGGUAGAGGUGGGCGGAAUUCGUGGUGUAGCGGUGAAAUGCUUAGAUAUCACGAAGAACUCCGAUUGCGAAGGCAAUUCACUGGACUGCAACUGACACUGAGGCUCGAAAGUGUGGGUAUCAAACAGGAUUAGAUACCCCUGUAGUC
rnacentral:rRNA from 1 species